AUGUAUUUGUUUGUGGCGGUUUCUCACAGAAUCAUUUCCUGGUCCUGCUCCACCAGCGACGUCUGUCAGAACAACACAGCGGCAAACUUCCACACCAGGCGGUGUCCAGAUCACCAUGUCAAAUGUCUGUGGAGUUCAGAUCGGCAACAACAACAUCAUGAAUAUUGUUCAGAAACCGGGCCAGAGACACUGAACGGCUCCUUCCAGAGUUGGCUCGUCUUAUUCCCGUUCAGAGAACUCCCCGAAAAAACCCCAGUGACCUCUUCACACUCUCUUAUGCAGGAAUCAGCUCUUGUUCAGUGUUAUAAGUUGCAAACUAUACCUGUGUGCCAAAGGGAAACAGACUUUCAGUGGAGUUGGACACUCAAAAAAUAUCCAUGCCAAUUUGAUGUGUUUGAAUUGCUUAUAAAAUGUCCAUCCAUUUGGAUUACACAGUUUUAACAUUAACUUAUACAUUUAAUGUAAUGCAUGUUUUUUUCAGUCAUACAUUAACAAAGCAGGUCAAAUUAAUAAUAAUGUUUUUGUUACUUGAAAUAAACAUUAUAUAUAUAUAUAUAUAUAUAUAUAUAUAUAUAUAUUAUAGCUUAAACAUUGAGUAAAAAAUAAUUAAAAUACAUAUAAAAAUGUAAAUGUAAAUUAUUCUAGUUCUCAAUUCCAUUUAGUAUAACCUGAUGUAGUUAACACUAAAACUGAGACAUAUAAAUUAGUGACCAAUUCUCAAGACCGCAGACUGAGGAUAACUUCACAACGACUAAUGCACACUCUCUCUCCUCCUCUCGACUCUCAGAGACUGACGUUUCCAAACUUUCCAAACUAACUAUCCUUUCCAAUCAUCAGAAUAACCUCCUGGACAGCAACCAAUCUGGCUUCAAAUGUGGCCAUGCUCUCAGUUACUGAACCCCUACGACUGGCAAGAACAGCUUCAAAAUCCUCAGUACUCAUCUUACUGGACCUGCCCUUACGAAAAAUAACCAUGGUUUUAUUAUAGUAAAACUGUAGUAACCCAUGGUUUUUUGGCGUAUUGACUGCCAUUUGUAAAACCACAGAUUUACUACAAAUACCAUGGUAAAACUAUGGUUAAUAUAGCAAAACCAUGGUUAAUUUGUGGUUACCAUGGUUUAACUACAGUAACCAUGGUUUUUUGGUUUUAUUUGUAGUAAAACCAUGGUUAAUUUUCGUAAGGGUGUCUGCUGCUUUUGACAACGCUAAUCACCAGAUUCUCCUGUCCACCCUCAGAAAGAUGGGCAUCUCUGGAACCACACUCCUGUGGUUUAAGUGCUACCUCUCCGAUAGAUCCUUCAGUGUGUCUUGGAGGGGUGAAGUUUCUAAGUCACAACUACUUGGUACUGGGGUUCCUCAAGGCUCAGUACUUGGACCACUUCUCUUCUCCAUCUACAUGGCAUAAUUAGGAUAUGUCAUUCAGAAGCAUGGCUUUGCCUAUAACUGCUACGCUGAAGACACUUAACUCUACUUCUCAUUCCAACCAGAUGACCCGACGGUAGUUGUUCACAUAGAGUGACAUUUCUAGCUGGAUGAAUGACCAUCACCUUCAGCUCAAGCUUACUAAGACAGAAGUGCGGGCGGUUCCAGCUAACCCAUCGUUUCAUCACAACUUCUCUAUACAGCUGGGUUCAUCAACCAUAACUCCCUCCAGGACAGACAUAAACCUAGGAGUUGUGAUGGAUCAUCAGUUAAGCAGUUAAGCCAAUUAGAAUCUCCCUUGACUUCAGUGAGCCAGACGAACAGGGUAACCACAUCAAACAUUAAACAACGAUCUCACAAACACAAGAUGUGAGACAAGCCAUUAUAUAGUGGAUGAGUAAUGAGUGGCAGCUGUUGCUGAUACAAUUAACGGAGACGCCCACAACUUAUCAGUGCAGAGGCGGGACACACAGAAUUCACCACAAAGUGUAAACAUCUCGAGAUCAUGGUUUACAAAAAUCGGUCAUAUGAAACCUGAUGGUAAAACAAGUAGUAUAUUUGAUGAUAAUGAUGUUUGUAACUAUUGUCAUGAACAGGGUCAUUGGAAGGUGGAUUGUGCUGUAUUAAAGGCUAAAACAAAGGGAAUGAAAACUAAUAUUAGACCUAUAACAUUUGCUGCAAAUGUAAAAACUGACUUGGUUUAUGAGGUAUGUUCACCACUCAUUUGUGAAGUGGAUGUUUUGGCAGCUUAUUCUCCUUUCAUUCGAGAUGGGUCUGUAUCACUGGUAGGCAGUGAUGUGAAAAUCCCAUUAAAGAUCUUGAGGGAUACGGGGGCUUAUAACUACUACACUGUGAGCUCUGCGUUGCCUUUUUCAGGGGACACAGAUACUGG
ensembl:lncRNA